rnacentral:rRNA from 1 species
UAGGGAAUAUUGCAAAAUGGGCGAAAGCCCGAUGCAGCAACGCCGCGUGGGCGAUGAAGGCCUUCGGGUCGUAAAGCCCUUUUUGAGGGGAUGAGGAAGGACAGUACCCUCAGAAUAAGCCUCGGCUAACUACGUGCCAGCAGCCGCGGUAAAACGUAGGAGGCGAGCGUUAUCCGGAUUUACUGGGCGUAAAGCGCGUGCAGGCGGAUUGGAGAGUUGGAUGUGAAAGCUCCCGGCUUAACUGGGAGAGGUCGUUCAAUACUUCCAGUCUUGAGUGCAGUAGAGGGAAGUGAAAUUCCGGGUGUAGUGGUGAAAUGCGUAGAUAUCCGGAGGAACACCAGUGGCGAAAGCGGCUUCCUGGACUGUAACUGACGCUCAGACGCGAAAGCUAGGGUAGCAAACG